rnacentral:pre_miRNA from 1 species
AAUAAACUAAUCUUUCACUUUUUAUCUUUAAUUUUUAACUUUUCGUCUUAUUUAAAUUUUUUGUGAUUGAUAUUUUGUUUUUUAUUAGAUGAUAAAUCAUAAAUAGUAUUUUACGUAUGACUAAUUUUUUUUUUAAUUUUUUGAAAAUUUUUCAAAAUAAGACGGAUGGUCAAACGUUGGACGCGGAAACCGAAG